rnacentral:rRNA from 1 species
CUGUGCCUACGGGGGGCAGCAGUGAGGAAUAUUGGUCAAUGGGCGAGAGCCUGAACCAGCCAAGUCGCGUGAGAGAAGACGGUCCUAUGGAUUGUAAACCUCUUUUGUCGGGGAGCAAAACGGCCUCGUGAUGCCACAAGUGAGCGUACCCGAAGAAACAGCAUCCGCUAACUCCGUGCCAGCAGCCGCGGUAAUACGGAGGAUGCGAUAGUUAUCCGGAUUUAUUUGUUUUAAA